UAAUUAGACUUGGUCAAAAGGCCUACAAAAAUAAUAUUCAAAAAAAAUUAAGACAGUAAUGAUACUCAUCAAGAAUAAUAUACUGAGACUUGAAUACAAGCUUGAUGAUUCCUAAAACUAGAAUUGGAACUGAUCUUCCAUCUCUAACAUUCAGAAAUUUCUUGCCUUCUCGAAAUCUCCUACUGACCUGAAGAUCUUGCAAUGAAUUGCAAAUGUGAAUAGGUCUUCCGGUAUCCAAUACCCAGAUCAUUGUAUCAAUAAGAGAGAAGUUACAAGGUGUUAUCACAUAAGUAUCUUAUCCAGCAACCGAUUGCUGCUUCUUCUUUGGCCUGUUCGGGUCAAGAGAAGCUUUAUACUGAGGAUAGUUCCUCAUCCAGUGACCCUACUUCUUACAAAAGAAGCACUCUACCUGAUUUUGAUCAGUCUUUAACUUGAGUUUUUGAAACUGACUCCUAACACCUGGCACCUUCUUAUUCUUUUUUUUUCUUUCUCAAAGGGAUGAUGACACCCGAAGAAGAUCCUCCCACUAAAUUUAUCAUCUCCUUAUGGAGCUGGUGAUCUUUCUUAAAAAUAUGUAGCAACCCCAAC
rnacentral:lncRNA from 1 species